AGUCUGGUGCCAGCAGCCGCGGCAAUUCCAGCUCCAAUAGCGUAUAUUAAAGUUGUUGUAGUUAAAAAGCUCGUAGUUGGAUCUCGGGUCCAGGCUCGCGGUUCGCCUCGCGGCGAUCACUGCCCGUCCUGACCUACCUCCCGGUUUUCCCUUGGUGCUCUUCGUUGAGUGCUUCGGGUGGCCGGAACGUUUACUUUGAAAAAAUUAGAGUGCUCAAAGCAGGCGGACUGCCUGAAUAAUCGCGCAUGGAAUAAUGGAAUAGGACCUCGGUUCUAUUUUGUUGGUUUUCGGAACUCGAGGUAAUGAUUAAGAGGGACAGACGGGGGCAUUCGUAUUACGGUGUUAGAGGUGAAAUUCUUGGAUCGCCGUAAGACGAACUACUGCGAAAGCAUUUGCCAAGAAUGUUUUCAUUAAUCAAGAACGAAAGUCAGAGGUUCGAAGACGAUCAGAUACCGUCGUAGUUCUGACCAUAAACGAUGCCAACUGGCGAUCCGCGGGCGUUGAUCUAAUGGCCCCGCGGGCAGCCUCCGGGAAACCAAAGUUUUUGGGUUCCGGGGGAAGUAUGGUUGCAAAGCUGAAACUUAAAGGAAUUGACGGAAGGGCACCACCAGGAGUGGAGCCUGCGGCUUAAUUUGACCCAACACGGGAAAACUCACCCGGCCCGGACACCGUAAGGAUUGACAGAUUGAGAGCUCUUUCUUGAUUCGGUGGGUGGUGGUGCAUGGCCGUUCCUAGUUGGUGGAGCGAUUUGUCUGGUUAAUUCCGAUAACGAACGAGACUCUAGCCUGCUAAAUAGUUCACCGAUUCACCGAGUCGGUGUUAACUUCUUAGAGGGACAAGUGGCGUUUAGCCACACGAGAUAGAGCAAUAACAGGUCUGUGAUGCCCUUAGAUGUUCGGGGCCGCACGCGCGCUACACUGAAGGAAUCAGCGUGUGUUCUCCCUGAUCCGAAAGGACCGGGUAACCCGUUGAACCUCCUUCGUGCUAGGGAUUGUGGCUUGCAAUUGUUCCACAUGAACGAGGAAUUCCCAGUAAGCGCGAGUCAUAAGCUCGCGUUGAUUACGUCCCUGCCCUUUGUACACACCGCCCGUCGCUACUACCGAUUGGAUGGUUUAGUGAGAUCCUCGGAUUGGACCCGGCGCGGCGGGCAACCGUCGUGCCGGUGUUCCGAAAAGACGAUCAAACUUGAUCAUCUAGA
rnacentral:rRNA from 1 species